AUUGAACGCUGGCGGCAUGCCUUACACAUGCAAGUCGAACGGCAGCACGGGGCAACCUGGUGGCGAGUGGCGAACGGGUGAGUAAUGCAUCGGAACGUACCUUUCAGUGGGGGAUAACGUAGCGAAAGUUACGCUAAUAUCGCAUAUUCUGUGAGCAGGAAAGCAGGGGAUCGCAAGACCUUGCGCUGAUUGAGCGGCCGAUGUCAGAUUAGCUAGUUGGUGAGGUAAAGGCUCACCAAGGCGACGAUCUGUAGCGGGUCUGAGAGGAUGACCCGCCACACUGGAACUGAGACACGGUCCAGACUCCUACGGGAGGCAGCAGUGGGGAAUUUUGGACAAUGGGGGCAACCCUGAUCCAGCCAUGCCGCGUGAGUGAAGAAGGCCUUCGGGUUGUAAAGCUCUUUCGGCCGGGAAGAAAUCGCACGGGCUAAUACCCUGUGUGGAUGACGGUACCGGAAUAAGAAGCACCGGCUAACUACGUGCCAGCCGCCGCAGUAAGAC
rnacentral:rRNA from 1 species